UUCUUUAUAUUUAUUGAUUGCUCUUGUAAUUUCAGAUGAUGCGUUAGAACUGGAUGGCCAAAUAAAGUGGCAGAUCAAAGAUCAGAUCAUGCAACGAGUGUGCAGGUACAUGGUGGUGCGUUAGACAAGAUAGCCAAAUGGAGAGGCAGAACAAACAGUCAGAAGAGCAUGCAACGAGUGCAGGAACCUGGUGGUACGUUAGAGCAGCUGUCCAGGAGAGGUGCAGGAUAAGAUACUGAACGAGCAAACAGUGAAUGGACUAAACGAACAUUAUGAUUACAAUCAAUUAUGAGAGCAACAGCAGACCGUACAAAUAAACAUGAAGGAUGAAAAGAAAAAGACAGUUUUGUUAUUGGCUAAUUGGAAAGUUGUUUGGCUCACAUGGGCCGAUGGGAUAGGACAUCUGCAUGUGUGUUGAAUCUGAGUCUGCAGAGUCAAGUGACGGUGUGCUGUUUAUAUGGUUAAACUUUGUUUAGUGGUGUAAUUGUUAUUUAUUUAUUUUUUUUUUUGUUUAGUUGAGUGUUGGUGAGGCGUAUAUUAUAUUGUGUUCGUAGAGUUAGUUUGUUGUCGCAUGGAUUGUCAGUAAUAUUUAUAGCGGUAGAAUUUUAUGACUUGUGUUGUGUGUGUAGUGAGUUGGUUGAAUAGUUAUGGUUAGUUUCAGUUAUUGUGUUUGUUGUAAGGUGUGAGUUAAUUGUACUGGCGUAGUCACAUGUAGCCUCGUUAUUAUGACCAACAAAAUGACUAUAUUAUGUGGUUAAAAAUAGCUUUUAAAUUCAUCUGUUUUGUUUUGAACACCGCAUGAUUUUCAAUUAGCAAUAUUUAAUUAGUUGAAGGGGCAGAGUUGCAGUUAAGUACAUGGAUAUUGGAGACUAGUGUGUUUCCUUAGAUUUAGAGUGGUUGUCGACUGUGCUGCCGUAUUUUUCGCGCAUGAGUGUUAUAAGGUCGGAAUAGACAGUCUUUGAUAAAUUAUUUACUUUUCUCUUCAAGGACCUUCGAGAUCUCCACCGAUCUCUGGAGGGCCAGAAGAAUUUCGCAGGGUGAGGCAUUGCUGCUUUGUUGCUGUUGGGUCUGCUCGUCCGCCUGCUGACGUCGAUGCUGGAACUGCUGAUGCUGCCGAUGCUGAUGUUGAUGCUCCCGAUGUUCAGAAGGCUGGUGAGUAUUAUUGGCUGAUAUCAUCACUUUGCUAAUCGUCUUCUUUUCAGGUUGUGUUGGGCUGGCUGCUGAUGUUUGUUUAUUCGACCAGGUACAGGUGACAGGGGCGCAGUCUCGGGUACCGGGCUGCGGAGAACUGCGCUGUACGUUGGCCUGUUGUUGGCUUCUGGAACCAAGGCAGUAGCGUGCAUUGAGCUUGCAGGCUGCUCCCCUGUGGCUGGAGGCGGAGGCAUCUGGAGUCGGCGCGCUGUCUGUUGUUGCUGCUGCAUGUGCUGGAGAUGAUUUUGAAGGUUGUUCAUUUUGGCCUGGUGCAUCUGGCGGGAGUGGAGUAAUUUGCUUCUGGCUUCCUUGAAUGAUGGGCAGCCUUUGUAGCUGCUGAUGUGGCUGCCCUUGCAGUUGGCACACUUGGAUGCCUCAUCUCUUCUUUUGGCAUGUUGUCGUUGGAUGGCAUCCAGCGCACUUCAUGCUCACAAAGGGCGACGGCAGUCGCAGUCUUGGUGUGACCAAAAACUUGGCAUCGGUGGCAUUGGGCAGGAUCCAUUGGCUUUGCCUGCCUUUCAACUUUUAUAACCUGGAGACCCAGAAGCUAAAGCUGCAGGAUCUUGAAGUGUGAGCUAUCAGUUUUCGGCUCAAUUUCCACUUCAAACAGCCAAUUUCAGCGAGCUUAGCGGCGAUCCAUUCGGUAGGAGUGGUGUGGUGCAAAUGCCUGAUGACGACGCGCAGGUCUUUCCUCAUUUGGUGUGAAAACAAAUGUGUUCCAGCUUCAUUUAAGGUGUUGAGAAUGGCGUUGUAUGUACUUAGGCAGCUGCUGAUGAUGCGGACACCGUUGGAUGCAACCUUGACCACGUAGCUGCCUAUGCCUGGCGUAUUUUUAAUUUUUCCAAUAGAUGAAGAAUGGCAUCAACUUUUGGAAUGAAUAAAGGAGGAAUUUCUCCAACAUUACGAUCAGAUUCUCGUUUUUAUUGAAGCUUUGUUGGUGUUCUUGCUGUUGAAUGAUUUGCUGGCUUUUGGUAAGUAUUUGGGAAUCUCUUCUUGCUUGCAUUAUAGAUUUUGCUGCGUCGCUUUUAAAUGCUGGAGUUUUAAUGGAUUCAAACAUGCUUAUGUGGUCGUCACUGGAGUCAAGCUCAACUCGUUUGCGCUUAGAUGGUGUCGAGACAUCGUUAUCAAUACGAGUGGUGGCUGUAGUUGGCAGUUUAGGAGCCACUGGAUCCACUUGUAUGUUUGCAAUUGUGUGUAUCAAGCUGCGCUUUGUAGGAUUGCUGGCCUUCGUCGGUGUGUGUGCUGGUGAUGGCGCGAGAUUUGGCGUCGGUUUUUGUUGUUGUGGUUUAGUAAUGGUUGCCUGUUGGUUGUUUUGUAAGUAACUGGCUUAAUGUUGCCAACGGAGGUGUCGACUGGAGACGCCAUGUUGCUUGGUUUUUGUUGCUGGUUUCCUGUGUUGGCUGUUUGAUGUUUGUAGUUGUAUGUUGCUAAGUUGAUGUUGCUAGCGGGAGGGUUGGCUACAGUAGCCAUGAUGGUUGAUGG